AGAUAUCAGGAGGAACACCGAUGGCGAAGGCAGAUCUCUGGGCCGUGACUGACGCUGAGGAGCGAAAGGGUGGGGAGCAAACAGGCUUAGAUACCCUGGUAGUCCACCCCGUAAACGUUGGGAACUAGUUGUGGGGGCCUUUCCACGGUCUCCGUGACGCAGCUAACGCAUUAAGUUCCCCGCCUGGGGAGUACGGCCGCAAGGCUAAAACUCAAAGGAAUUGACGGGGACCCGCACAAGCGGCGGAGCAUGCGGAUUAAUUCGAUGCAACGCGAAGAACCUUACCAAGGCUUGACAUACACCGGAAACGUCCAGAGAUGGUCGCCCCUUUUUGGUCGGUGUACAGGUGGUGCAUGGUUGUCGUCAGCUCGUGUCGCGAGAUGUUGGGUUAAGUCCCGCAACGAGCGCAACCCUCGUUCUAUGUUGCCAGCACGUUAUGGUGGGAACUCAUGGGAUACUGCCGGGGUCAACUCGGAGGAAGGUGGGGAUGACGUCAAAUCAUCAUGCCCCUUAUGUCUUGGGCUUCACGCAUGCUACAAUGGCCGGUACAAUGGGCUGCGAUACCGUGAGGUGGAGCGAAUCCCAAAAAGCCGGUCCCAGUUCGGAUCGUAGUCUGCAACUCGACUACGUGAAGUCGGAGUCGCUAGUAAUCGCAGAUCAGCAACGCUGCGGUGAAUACGUUCCCGGGUCUUGUACACAC
rnacentral:rRNA from 1 species